UACGAAGGGGGCUAGCGUUGCUCGGAAUUACUGGGCGUAAAGGGCGCGUAGGCGGCACUGUUAGUCAGGCGUGAAAGUCCUGGGCUCAACCUGGGAACUGCGCUUGAUACGGCAGAGCUAGAGGAUGGAAGAGGCUCGCGGAAUUCCCAGUGUAGAGGUGAAAUUCGUAGAUAUUGGGAAGAACACCGGUGGCGAAGGCGGCAUCCUGGACCGGUAUUGACGCUGAGGCGCGAAAGCCAGGGGAGCAAACGGG
rnacentral:rRNA from 1 species